rnacentral:tRNA from 1 species
GUGGGUAUAUCUCAGUGGUAGAGUGCAUACUUAGUAUGCUGAAGGUCCAAGGUUCAAUUCCUAGUACCUUUG